rnacentral:rRNA from 1 species
UACAUGGGGUGCAAACGUUGCUCGGAAUUAUUGGGCGUAAAGCGCACGUAGGCGGUUCGUUAAGUCGGAUGUGAAAGCCCUCGGCUCAACUGAGGAAGUGCACCCGAAACUGGCGAGCUUGAGUACGAAAAGAGGAUCGCGGAAUUCCCGGUGUAGAGGUGAAAUUCGUAGAUAUCGGGGAGGAACACCGGGUGGCGAAGGCGGCGAUCUGGGUCGAUACUGACGCUGAGGUGCGAAAGCGUGGGGAGCAAACAGGG